GAUGAACGCUGGCGGCGUGCCUAAUACAUGCAAGUCGAGCGAAUGGAUUAAGAGCUUGCUCUUAUGAAGUUAGCGGCGGACGGGUGAGUAACACGUGGGUAACCUGCCCAUAAGACUGGGAUAACUCCGGGAAACCGGGGCUAAUACCGGAUAAUAUUUUGAACUGCAUGGUUCAAAAUUGAAAGGCGGCUUCGGCUGUCACUUAUGGAUGGACCCGCGUCGCAUUAGCUAGUUGGUGAGGUAACGGCUCACCAAGGCAACGAUGCGUAGCCGACCUGAGAGGGUGAUCGGCCAAACUGGGACUGGGACACGGCCCAGACUCCUACGGGAGGCAGCAGUAGGGAACCUUCCGCAAUGGACGAAAGUCUGACGGAGCAACGCCGCGUGAGUGAUGAAGGCUUUCGGGUCGUAAAACUCUGUUGUUAGGGAAGAACAAGUGCUAGUUGAAUAAGCUGGCACCUUGACGGUACCUAACCAGAAAGCCACGGCUAACUACGUGCCAGCCGCCGCUGUAA
rnacentral:rRNA from 1 species